UACGUAGGGGGCAAGCGUUGUCCGGAUUAUUGGGCGUAAAGAGCGUGUAGGCGGCCAGGUAGGUCUGCUGUGAAAACUCGAGGCUUAACCUCGAGACGUCGGCGGAAACCAUCUGGCUAGAGUCCGGAAGAGGAGAGUGGAAUUCCUGGUGUAGCGGUGAAAUGCGCAGAUAUCAGGAAGAACACCCGUGGCGAAGGCGGCUCUCUGGGACGGUACUGACGCUGAGACGCGAAAGCGUGGGGAGCGAACAGG
rnacentral:rRNA from 1 species